CAUGAACGCUAGCGGGAGGCCUAACACAUGCAAGCCGAGCGGUAUUGUUUCUUCGGAAAUGAGAGAGCGGCGUACGGGUGCGGAACACGUGUGCAACCUGCCUUUAUCUGGGGGAUAGCCUUUCGAAAGGAAGAUUAAUACUCCAUAACAUAUUGAUUGGCAUCAAUUAAUAUUGAAAGCUCCGGCGGAUAGAGAUGGGCACGCGCAAGAUUAGCUAGUUGGUGAGGUAACGGCUCACCAAGGCGAUGAUCUUUAGGGGGCCUGAGAGGGUGAUCCCCCACACUGGUACUGAGACACGGACCAGACUCCUACGGGAGGCAGCAGUGAGGAAUAUUGGUCAAUGGGUGCAAGCCUGAACCAGCCAUCCCGCGUGAAGGACGACUGCCCUAUGGGUUGUAAACUUCUUUUGUAUAGGGAUAAACCUACCCUCGUGAGGGUAGCUGAAGGUACUAUACGAAUAAGCACCGGCUAACUCCGUGCCAGCAGCCGCAGUAAUAC
rnacentral:rRNA from 1 species